rnacentral:rRNA from 1 species
GACGGAGGGUGCGAGCGUUAAUCGGAAUUAAUGGGCGUAAAGCGCAUGUAGGCGGCCGAACGAGUCAGGUGUGAAAUCCUCGGGCUUAACCUGGGAAGUGCACUUGAUACUGUCCGGCUAGAGUUUGGCAGAGGAAAGUAGAAUUCCCGGUGUAGCGGUGUAAUGCGUAGAUAUCGGGAGGAGUACCAGUGGCGAAGGCGGCUUUCUGGGCCAAUACUGCCGCUGGGGUGUGACAGCGUGGGGAGCAAACAGG